rnacentral:rRNA from 1 species
GAUGAACGCUGGCGGCGUGCCUAAUACAUGCAAGUCGAGCGAACAGAUGAGGAGCUUGCUCCUCUGACGUUAGCGGCGGACGGGUGAGUAACACGUGGAUAACCUACCUAUAAGACUGGGAUAACUUCGGGAAACCGGCGCUAAUACCGGAUAAUAUAUUGAACCGCAUGGUUCAAUAGUGAAAGACGGUUUUGCUGUCACUUAUAGAUGGAUCCGCGCCGCAUUAGCUAGUUGGUAAGGUAACGGCUUACCAAGGCAACGAUGCGUAGCCGACCUGAGAGGGUGAUCGGCCACACUGGAACUGAGACACGGUCCAGACUCCUACGGGAGGCAGCAGUAGGGAACCGUCCGCAAUGGGCGAAAGCCUGACGGAGCAACGCCGCGUGAGUGAUGAAGGUCUUCGGAUCGUAAAACUCUGUUAUUAGGGAAGAACAAAUGUGUAAGUAACUAUGCACGUCUUGACGGUACCUAAUCAGAAAGCCACGGCUAACUACGUG